CGUUGGAGGCGAGCGUUACCCGGAUUCACUGGGCGUAAAGCGCGUGCAGGUGGCUUGGUAAGUUAGGCGUGAAAUCUCCCGGCUCAACUGGGAGAGGUCGUCUAAUACUACCGGGCUAGAGAGCAGAAGAGGAAGAUGGAAUUCCCGGUGUAGUGGUGAAAUGCGUAGAUAUCGGGAGGAACACCAGUGGCGAAGGCGAUCUUCUGGUCUGUUUCUGACACUCAGACGCGACAGCUAGGGUAGUAAACGGGAUUAGAGACCCCGGUAAUCCUAGCCGUAAACGAUGUGAACUUGGCGUUGGUGGGUUAAACUCCAUCAGUGCCGAAGCAAACGCGAUAAGUUCACCGCCUGGGGACUACGGCGCAAGGUU
rnacentral:rRNA from 1 species